rnacentral:lncRNA from 1 species
AAACUCUAUUGACCAUUUAGACUCAUUAUUUGAUGUAAACUUGUGUUGGUUGUUAUAGGUUUCAGGCAAAACAAAAGAAACAAACAAUUAAACGGCUAUUGUGGAUUCAUUAAUUAUCGUUGGAUACCAAAUUUUCUGGAUUUCGUGUUUACAGGUGAACCGCGAAAUUAAAUAUUCCACGGAUGAGAAAUUACCAUAUGCUUGUAUGUAGACUGCGUCAAAACCACGGAAUUGAAUAUCCACGAACAUGCAAGUUUUCCCUAAUCUGCAAAAAUUGGUACCCACGAAAGUAAAUGAAUCCACAGUACUCAGGCUUUAUAAAACGUCACCAGUGUCUGAGGAGAAAGUUGACAAACCAAUGAUAUGUCAAAGAACGUCUCGUUCUUUUUUUUUUUUUAAAGUUUAUCAGGAGAGACC